rnacentral:tRNA from 1 species
GGAAUUGUGGCUCAGUGGUAGAGUGCUUGCUAGCACGUGUGAGGCACUGGGUUCGAUUCUCAGCAAUCCA